ACAGUGAGCACAGUUGCAAAGUUCCUAAGCAACUUAAUCCUGUGUCAGCGAACAGGGGGGUUUCAAAGAUCAGCCAAGGUUGAGAAGACAUGUCACACGUCAGUCAACCCAAAUUUAUGACUAAGAACAGAAUGAGGGACAGCGCAAACCAGGGAAAAGAAACAUGGACACUGGACCCUACCAAGAAAACAGAAAAUGAGCUGUUAAUGUAGAAAAUCUCAGUGGUGGAGAAUGCGGGCACUUUUGUGGGCAAAGACGGCACAGUUGGGCGCCAACAGUUACGUCACUCUUCCUCUCAUUUGCCGGUUCGAUGGAAAGCCUGGAGUGGGACGGAGAGAACACGAGGACGGCCUCCCAGCUGCAGCAAAGGGUAAGUGGCACUUAAUAAGCAUUUACCCUGUAGCUGGCUGAGGCUGUCAUAUUAAUUCGUGUUUUUUCUCUGUUCCCACCUGGGCACGAGUGAGAGGAGGAGUUGGCCCAGAGAGGUAUCCCUCUUAUGUCCACUCUGACCGUAGGGCCUGGUUGAGGAAGUAGCAUUCCCGUGUGGACGGCUAAAGAGUGUGCACCUCCGGCUUUGGAUUCCAUGAUUGGAUGUGAGCGUGGUGCUGAUGGGGUGACGCUUGGGGGUAGGGGGGAUAUGUGGCGGAAUGAUCGUCAUCGUCGCCCCACCUCUUAGGGCCACCCUUCAGCCAGGCUCAUGACGGGAGUUGGGCGGGAGAGCGAGAAGAGGUGCAUAAUUAUUAAGCCUCGUUUGGUCAGCGGUGAAUGAAGCACAUCUGAUGGGGAUAAUGCUUCAUCACCGCUGUCUUUAAAACACAGUGCGCACCUCUUCUCGGGGAGCCGGCUUCAAAUCUCCACGUGCACACACUGGCAUCCUCGCAUGCCCAGGACCAGAGCUGGGAGGGUUCAGAGAUGGUGUGCUGCCGGACCCGUUCCUCGGACCCCCAGAUGCGUUAAUGAGUUGAUGGGGGUGAACAGCUCACGUUGCCGCCGAUGGGCUAGAUGCCGGGCCGCCUUCCCCUCACGCUUGCCGCGGGCCUGGGAAGACAGACCGCCAGUGACGCCACCACCCCUCGCGCCGUAGACUUUGGAGGGGAGCGUGAGCGGCCGACUGACCCAGCCCAUGCCUGGGCUAUCCUACGGACACUACCCCGCCCUUUCAUGGAGCCCCGUUCACCGCGAGGAUGCCAGAUUGCCCCUUUUAUUAUGAACACUAUUCCCCCUUGGACACUUUAUUACCCCUUUUGUACAUUUUUAUGUUUAUUAUUGUUUCCAAUAAAUGCCUCUCCGAGGCUUGACGCCA